rnacentral:snRNA from 1 species
GUGCUCACUUUGGCAGCACAUAUACUAAAAUUGGAACGAUACAGAGAAGAUUAGCACGGCCCCUGCACAAGGAUGACAUGCAAAUUCGUGAAGUGUUCCAUAUUUUU